UACGGAGGGUGCGAGCGUUGUCCGGAAUCACUGGGCGUAAAGGGCGCGUAGGCGGCCUGAUAAGUAGGGGGUGAAAUCCUGCGGCUUAACCGCAGGGCUGCCUUCUAAACUGUCAGGCUGGAGCACAGUAGAGGCAGGUGGAAUUCCCGGUGUAGCGGUGGAAUGCGUAGAGAUCGGGAAGAACAUCAGUGGCGAAGGCGGCCUGCUGGGCUGUGCUGACGCUGAGGCGCGACAGCGUGGGAGCAAACAGG
rnacentral:rRNA from 1 species